GAUGAACGCUGGCGGCGUGCUUAACACAUGCAAGCCGAACGGUGAAGCAGGAGCUUGCUCUUGUGGGUCAGUGGCGAGCGGGUGAGUAACACGUGAGCAACCUGCCCCUGACUCUGGGAUAAGCGCUGGAAACGGCGUCUAAUACUGGAUAUGUGAUGUGACCGCAUGGUCUGCAUCUGGAAAGAAUUUCGGUUGGGGAUGGGCUCGCGGCCUAUCAGCUUGUUGGUGAGGUAAUGGCUCACCAAGGCGUCGACGGGUAGCCGGCCUGAGAGGGUGACCGGCCACACUGGGACUGAGACACGGCCCAGACUCCUACGGGAGGCAGCAGUGGGGAAUAUUGCACAAUGGGCGGAAGCCUGAUGCAGCAACGCCGCGUGAGGGAUGACGGCCUUCGGGUUGUAAACCUCUUUUAGCAGGGAAGAAGCGAAAGUGACGGUACCUGCAGAAAAAGCACCGGCUAACUACGUGCCAGCAGCCGCCGUAA
rnacentral:rRNA from 1 species